GAGGAGUGGCGGACGGGUGAGUAACACGUGGGUAACCUACCCAUCAGAGGGGGAUAACACUUGGAAACAGGUGCUAAUACCGCAUAACAGUUUAUGCCGCAUGGCAUAAGAGUGAAAGGCGCUUUCGGGUGUCGCUGAUGGAUGGACCCGCGGUGCAUUAGCUAGUUGGUGAGGUAACGGCUCACCAAGGCCACGAUGCAUAGCCGACCUGAGAGGGUGAUCGGCCACACUGGGACUGAGACACGGCCCAGACUCCUACGGGAGGCAGCAGUAGGGAAUCUUCGGCAAUGGACGAAAGUCUGACCGAGCAACGCCGCGUGAGUGAAGAAGGUUUUCGGAUCGUAAAACUCUGUUGUUAGAGAAGAACAAGGACGUUAGUAACUGAACGUCCCCUGACGGUAUCUAACCAGAAAGCCACGGCUAACUACGUGCCAGCAGCCGCGGUAAUACGUAGGUGGCAAGCGUUGUCCGGAUUUAUUGGGCGUAAAGCGAGCGCA
rnacentral:rRNA from 1 species